AGAGGAAUCACGUUUGAAGUUUGCUUAAACGAUGAAGAGGAGGUCAAAGAGGAGAGCGGACCCACAGAGGAGGACGGGAAGAGGAUGAACCUGGAGGAGUGGUUUCGGGUGAGAAGAGGGUGGAGCAUGAGGUGUCCUCAGACGGCGCUGGACGCCCUCGCGGACAUGGACGUCAACUCGGCGUCCCACACGGCCGCUGGAGCUGCAGAAGGUGCAGGACGGGUCUGCGUUUGAGCCCACAUGAUUGUUUCCGUUUGCUCCUCACUGACCUAAAAAGUUCCCUUUCAGCUCUCACAGAGGAGGGGGCCACAGGUCGCAGGCGGUGGGUGGACACCCCCCCAAAAUCCCUGCUGGAUGCUCUGGGUCAGGCUGAACUGACAUCAUCCACUCUGGACUCACCGGCUGCAGACCUGGAGUCAGAGGACGUCACCAGGGAGGAGAAAGAGGGAAAACAGCCGGAUGGGGAAGAGGAGGAAGACUCUGAUGUGGAGUUGGAUGCAGAGCGUCUGGAGCCGCGGUCCGAUGACGAUGACACGAACUUUGAGGAAUCCGAGGACGAGCUGAAGGAGGAGGUGGCAGACUCCAUGAGGAACCUGUUGGUCAUGGAGGACUCCGGCUCCGAGGAGCACGGAGAAGCCGAGAGCUGCAACGGAUCCUCAGCAGGUCCACCCGUGUGACGGAGGAACCGAAGGGCGGCGGCAUCGGUCCGGCUGAACAUGAACAGCCUCAGCCCUGCCGACCAUGAACCAACACUAAUGUCCCUUCUAACAAAAACCCAACAGUUUCUGAAAGCUUCAGGUCUGUUGGUCUGAGGUUAGAAAAAAAGCAAAGGAACCAGAGAAUUAUGAGCAGAACAGCAAGAGAAACCCCUGGAAGGAACGAGUGUUUAUGGACAAGAAGUUUGCUUCUCUAAACUGCCUCCUGUGUUCGGCUAAAGGAAAACACUCUCAUGUGUUUCUAUGCAGACAAAAUGUCUUGGUUUAGUUUUCCCUGAUGUGAGCAGAUCAUGUAGAAUUUCAGGUCAGACUUUUCAGCGUUGAGUAUUUCCACCGUCUAACAUCCUAAACGAUGAAAACUCCAAUCUUUGGAUUGAGAUGCUCACAGGAGUUUAUCCUCUG
rnacentral:lncRNA from 1 species